rnacentral:rRNA from 2 species
UAUGGCUCAGGAUGAACGCUAGCUACAGGCUUAACACAUGCAAGUCGAGGGGAAACGACAGAGAAAGCUUGCUUUUUCUAGGCGUCGACCGGCGCACGGGUGAGUAACGCGUAUCCAACCUGCCCAUCACUUGGGGAUAACCUUGCGAAAGUAAGACUAAUACCCAAUGACGUCUCUAGAAGACAUCUGAAAGAGAUUAAAGAUUUAUCGGUGAUGGAUGGGGAUGCGUCUGAUUAGCUUGUUGGCGGGGUAACGGCCCACCAAGGCGACGAUCAGUAGGGGUUCUGAGAGGAAGGUCCCCCACAUUGGAACUGAGACACGGUCCAAACUCCUACGGGAGGCAGCAGUGAGGAAUAUUGGUCAAUGGGCGAGAGCCUGAACCAGCCAAGUAGCGUGCAGGAAGACGGCCCUAUGGGUUGUAAACUGCUUUUAUAAGGGAAUAAAGUGAGUCUCGUGAGACUUUUUGCAUGUACCUUAUGAAUAAGGACCGGCUAAUUCCGUGCCAGCAGCCGCGGUAAUACGGAAGGUCCGGGCGUUAUCCGGAUUUAUUGGGUUUAAAGGGAGCGUAGGCCGGAGAUUAAGCGUGUUGUGAAAUGUAGACGCUCAACGUCUGCACUGCAGCGCGAACUGGUUUCCUUGAGUACGCACAAAGUGGGCGGAAUUCGUGGUGUAGCGGUGAAAUGCUUAGAUAUCACGAAGAACUCCGAUUGCGAAGGCAGCUCACUGGAGCGCAACUGACGCUGAAGCUCGAAAGUGCGGGUAUCGAACAGGAUUAGAUACCCUGGUAGUCCGCACGGUAAACGAUGGAUGCCCGCUGUUGGUCUGAAUAGGUCAGCGGCCAAGGGAAAGCAUUAAGCAUCCCACCUGGGGAGUACGCCGAAAGCGGUGCAACUCAAAUGAAUUGACGG